UGUUCAACGAUGAAAAGAUAAGUAAUGUGAUAAGCGUUCUAAGAGAGUCUACGUUUGGUGCAAGUAGAUGACGUAAUUAUAUGAAAAUGGUCUUGGAGAAAUGUCAUUGUGAGCAUACGCCAACUCAUAUGUUGAUACGGUGUGAGCAAUGUCCGGGAGAGCCCGUUAUAGCUACCAUAAUUCCUAUUAUUUUGUUCAGAUAUUUUCAAAGCAAAAUAAAAGUGAUUGUGUGAGGUAUGUUUUUUAAACAUAUAAAUGCUGGGUGGUAACGCGAUAAUUCGUCCCACAG
rnacentral:ncRNA from 1 species